rnacentral:rRNA from 1 species
UGGGGAAUAUUGCACAAUGGAGGAAACUCUGAUGCAGCCAUGCCGCGUGUGUGAAGAAGGCUUUCGGGUUGUAAAGCACUUUCAGUGGGGAGGAAAGGUUGCUGUUUAAUAGACAGUAGCUGUGACGUUACCCACAGAAGAAGCACCGGCUAACUCCGUGCCAGCAGCCGCGGUAAUACGGAGGGUGCGAGCGUUAAUCGGAAUUACUGGGCGUAAAGCGCGCGUAGGUGGUUAAUUAAGUCAGAUGUGAAAGCCCAGGGCUCAACCUUGGAACUGCAUUUGAAACUGGUUAACUAGAGUUUUGUAGAGGGUGGUAGAAUUUCAGGUGUAGCGGUGAAAUGCGUAGAGAUCUGAAGGAAUACCAGUGGCGAAGGCGGCCACCUGGACAAAGACUGACACUGAGGCGCGAAGGCGUGGGGAGCAAACGGG